rnacentral:sRNA from 1 species
AUUAAAUAGAAAUGUAUAUGCAAAACAGCGAGAAAUUUGUAGAUACGUUGAAUGUUGUUGCUUUCACAUUUGCAACUCUUAGUAGUUGUUCAAAACAACAAUGUCGAGCAAAGAUGUUUGCGAUGUUUGAAUGAUUCUUGGAUUGUAUUUGGAUUCCAUCGGUACUAUGGCCUGUUGAUUCGGCACCUUUGUCAUUUUAGCAACUUUUGUUUUCUUUUCUGUGUCGAUGUAGUUCUCUAUACCAUAUUCAUGUUCAUAUCAAUGUCCAUAUCAAGGUCCAUAUCAAUGUCCAUAUCAAUUUCCCAUGUUCCAUUACAUAUCCCGUGUUCUUUCCUUCUUCCAGCUUUUACAUGCUAGCCUUUUAUACAAUGAUUCCUCUCAUCUCGACUCGUUUGAUGAAUGGGCGUUUAGUUUUUGCAACAACAUAUGCGUUGGGUUAUCUCAUAUCGGGAAACACUUUCUGCCACUUUUAACUUGAACAAAGUUGGAGAAAUAAAGUGAUGGCAGAUAUUGCAAGUUGUUUAUAGUGUGCCUGUAGAAAUGUAAAAACGCUAUGUUUCGUGAAUGCCCAGCCUGUAAAUCGAAAUAAGAUUUCGUAUUUAUUAAGCAUUGGAAGAUCACAAUUGUGACUUUGUGGGUUUCGUAAAGAACAUCAUAUAGAUUUCUUUGACCAAGUGUAAUAAAGCAAAACACACGGACAUAGUAUGGAUAUGGACACAGCAUGGGGUAUGGACACAAGCAACACUACCAGUCGUUUGAAACGAUGAAAUGGGCAACAAGUCGAUUNGUUUUUCAUCUAUCAAUCGGUGNAA